CACAUAAGCUUAGUCCUGACUUCUUUGUCGGUUGCAACCAAACUUACACAUGCAAGUAUCCGCACUCCCGUGAAGACGCCCACAAGCCCUCUAAUUUGAGGCCUAUGGAGCUGGUAUCAGGCCCAAAUAACACCAUUUUGCCCAAGACGCCUUGCUUAGCCACACCCCCAAGGGAUUUCAGCAGUGACGAACAUUAGGCUAUAAGUGAAAACUUGACUUAGUUAUGGUUUACAGGACCGGUUAAACUCGUGCCAGCAGCCGCGGUUAUACGAGAGGUCCGAAUUGACAAACAAACGGCGAAAGCGUGGUUAUGAGACAUCACUAAACUAAAGCCAAAUGCCCACAAAGCUGUAUUACGCACUCGAGGGCCUGAGACUCAACAACGAAAGUGGCUUUACAAACCUGAACCCACGAAAGCCAUGAAACAAACUGGGAUUAGAUACCCCACUAUGCAUGGCCGUAAAUACUGAUAUCUUAAAACAUUGAUCAUUCGCCAGGGUACUACGAACGUAAGUUUAAAACCCAAAGGACUUGGCGGUACUUCAGAUCCAACUAGAGGAGCCUGUUCUAUAACCGAUAUUCCCCGUUUAACCUCACCUUUCCUAGUUUAAACCGCCUAUAUACCGCCGUCAUCAGCCUACCCCGUGAGGAAACUGUAGUAGGCUUAAGCGCCACUAAUCCAAAAUGUCAGGUCGAGGUGUAGCGCAUGGAAAGGGAUGAAAUUGGCUACAUUUAGUGCACCCACUAUAUACGAACGAUGAGUUGAAACACCCAACAGAAGGUGGAUUUAGCAGUAAGAGGAAAACAGAGAGUUCCCCUGAAAUCGGCUCUGAAGUGCGUACACACCGCCCGUCACUCUCCCCGAAAAUUAAUACCUAUAUCCAUAAUACACCACCGCCAGAAAGGGGAGGCAAGUCGUAACAUGGUAAGUGUACCGGAAGGUGCACUUG
rnacentral:ncRNA from 1 species